rnacentral:rRNA from 1 species
UGCGAAGGGGGCUAGCGUUGCUCGGAAUUACUGGGCGUAAAGGGCGCGUAGGCGGACAGUUAAGUCAGAGGUGAAAGCCCAGGGCUCAACCCUGGAAUUGCCUUUGAUACUGGCUGUCUUGAGUACGGGAGAGGUGAGUGGAACUCCGAGUGUAGAGGUGAAAUUCGUAGAUAUUCGGAAGAACACCAGUGGCGAAGGCGACUCACUGGCCCGUUACUGACGCUGAGGCGCGAAAGCGUGGGGAGCAAACAGG